UACGAAGGGGGCUAGCGUUGCUCGGAAUCACUGGGCGUAAAGCGCACGUAGGCGGGUCUUUAAGUCGGAGGUGAAAUCCUGGAGCUCAACUCCAGAACUUCCUUCGAUACUGAGGAUCUCGAGUCCGGGAGAGGUGAGUGGAACUGCGAGUGUAGAGGUGAAAUUCGUAGAUAUUCGCAAGAACACCAGUGGCGAAGGCGGCUCACUGGCCCGGUACUGACGCUGAGGUGCGAAAGCGUGGGGAGCAAACAGG
rnacentral:rRNA from 1 species